GCCGACUUAGCUCAGCUGGCUAGAGCAGCUGAUUUGUAAUCAGCAGGUCGGGGGUUCGAGUCCCUCCGUCGGCU
rnacentral:tRNA from 1 species